UUUAAUUCACGGAAAAUCUCUGUCUCUCUCAAAUCCCUCUCUCUGGUGGACUCCUUCUCUCUCACCGACUCCCUCUCGCUCGCCGACUUCCUCUCCCUCGCUGACUCCCUCUCGCUUGCUGACUUCCUCUCCCUCGCCAACUCCCUCUCUCUCUUCCUCCUGCGAUUAUAACCUCCCGAGCUUUGUCUCUCUUAGAAUCGCUCAUCUACAUUAGCUUCGAUUGCUAAACCCUAAGUUUUGAUUUAUCACUUUAACUGGAUACAAAAGGAGAUCAGCGAUAUCCCUCGUCGUCAUAUCUAAUUCGAAACUGGCUUUGACCCUCCCCUUUUCAUCCACUUCACAACCUUCUGGAAUCCGAAAACCGGUUUGUCCCAAAAAAAAAUCGGAUGACAGAUUCGAUUCUAAUGAUCUGUUGGAGAUGGUGGAAUCUGGCUAGUAGUUUGCUUUAGGGUUUCCUCAGAAUGAAUCGAUGCAUUCGGGAGCUGAUGUGGAUGCCUUUCUGGCCGCUCUGAAUCGAGAUAUUUUAAGUUCGAGUUCACUUCCGCUCGUGACAAACCCAGAACUUAUUGAGAAGAAGUGUUUGAAUAGUUUAUGAGGAAUUUUAUGUCAAAUUCUGACAUCUCCGUGACAUCUUCGAACACAUGGAAGGUCUUUUCUAAUCUGAUUUCGAUGGAACUUCUCACCUUUAUAAUCAGUCUUGCUUUUGUUUUUGUUUUUGUGUCUUUUAAUGAGGAUUGCAGUAAUAUACUUCCUCUAUGUCAUUGUGGGCAGUCUGUUUGCUGUGUUGUCUGUUCGAAACAUCCCAUCAAUCUGUUCUGGUGCUGCUUUCUUUGGGUUGAUUGGAGCUAUGCUUUCUGCACUUUGCAAGGCCAAGUAUUCUUGUGGUCACUUUGUAUCCCUGAGGGUGAAGAAGAGGAGCACUCGUUUGACAGAUUAGCCUCGUUCAGGUUUGGCUUCGAACACUCAGAAAAUGAAAGGGGCAGGUGUUAAGAAGAAAACCGAGCUGGUGAACGACGCUGGUGAGGCGGAUACGGUGGUGGAAAUCGUCAGAGAUAGCCUGAAAAUAAGCGGUGAUGGUGGGUUUGGCAUUGAUGACAGCGGAGGAGGUGGAGGUGGAAGUGGAGAAUCGAUGUAGCACGCAAAAAGUUCCAUGUUGAGUUUGCUAAAAAAUUGAUUCAAGUGGUUGGUUCCACAGUUGCAGUGAUGAAGACAGCAAAAGGGAAGUAGCGUGACACUAUUUCAGAAAAGAAGAAUGUUUGCUCAGAAGAUAAGAAACCAUACGACUGAAGCUGAUGGUAAUACCUCAUAAACAGGUAGACUGCUAACCAGAUUCAGAAAGAAGAAGUGAUUUUAAGCUCUGGUUUGUGUCCUUAGAGAAAUUGCAGUAGUUAUGAUGUUGUUUGAUACCUUAUAUGUUGAAAGAUGAACUACUUUGUAAAAUUACGUUUAUGUAUUUUUGAUGGUUUAUUGAAAGAAACAUGCAUUUAACUAAUCGGUUUUGUAAAUAUUAUU